UGCAGCUAAUGGCUCUAGGAUCUCCUUGGAGCUGACCCCUGACUUCCCAGCUCCUGACUCAACACACACUACUCUGAUACCUCUUGGCAUGACUCAACUUCCUCAUUAUUGCUUUUCUUCCUCCUCAAUCUUCACUGUGAUAUGGAAACAAGAACAAAAGACAGCCAAAGGGAGGCAGAAAGACUGGAGAAAGAGUACAAGGUAUGUUCUCUGAUAGUUGUUGCUUGGGGCCAAGUGCAAGUGAUCUCCACAUUCCAUAGAAAUGGCUCCUGAUUGACCACAAGAGCUGCUGUGCCUCAGGACACUACAAAAGAGAAGAAAUUGCAGCUUUCUACAUCCCUCAGGGUAUUAACUCCAAAACUGUGAGUUGUCCAUAUGUGGGCACCAAGCAUAUCCUGUGGCACCUGCUACUUGGCACAGGUAGGGAAGCCUGAGGUGUGAGGGGGGAAGGCAUAUGGUAUGCUGUGUAGGGAGGUAUUGCCAGGUUGUGCCUACAUAACCCUGGUGGGAGCCCCCAUAGAGCCAAUGUUCUGUGGCAAUUGGAGCAGAAUAAGAGGGAAAAACUCUGGAAACAGAAGAAACGGAAAGGAUUGAAGAUGCUGCAGAUGAAUUGUCUGGUCCUGAAGCAAAGACCAGGGGGAGGGAACUCAUCAAAAUGAUAUCUGAAUAUAGGUUAGAAACAGUCUGAUUAUCUGAAGGAUGAACAUUUAGGGCAGAAAGAAGGGCAAAACCAAGCUUAGUUGGAGAACACACACACACACACACACACACACACACACACACACACACACACAUAAUAUGCUCAAGGGAUGGAGAUAGGGGAUGCCAGGGCAGCAUCAAUGAUCUGAAGGGGAAGGAAGGUAGGAGGAGAGGAUGCUAGGCAAGCUUCUGGUGGUUGGCUCAUGUGAAGUUACAUGUUGCAGGAGGAAGUUUGGUUUUAUUUCAGCUUUCCUUUCAGGAACCCAGUGGGCACUGGUGGCUACGGGCUUCGUUGAAGGAAGUAUGUCACUGUGGGCAUGGGUAAUGAGACCCUGCUUCUAACCAUAUGAGAGCCAGUCUUUUCCUAGCUGAUUUUGGAACAAGACGUAGAACUCUCGGCUCCUCCAGUGCCAUGCCUGCCUAGAUGUUGCCAUGCUUCCUGCCAUAAUGAUAAUGGACUGAACUUCUGAAUCUAUACCCUUCUAUUUUGACCUGCAUAUCUCAACUUUCAAGACAUGGCUUCUUCCCCCAGAGAAGACGUCUCUCUGUGGUAUACACUAUCUGUUAGGAUGAGCAGAGAACCUGUUAGUGACAGAGUUGGUAAAUAGUUGCUCCCAGCCUCGGGGCCCCCUCUGGCUGCAGUUGGCAUUUAUAAAGUGGAUGUGGAUGGAACGCCCCUUAGGUCUCACUCAGGACUGGGCCCUGAGCCCCAUCUCUCAGCUCCUCUUUAGAAAUUACUGAACGAACCUUAUCAUUUGCUGGACAUUAUGUUCAGCACCUUGUAAUUGUCAACUCGUUUAGUUCUCAUAGCAACCCCGCUGACGUAGGUACCAUUAUCACCUGCAUUCCACAAGGUCAACAUUGUCCCUGAGCCCACAGCUCAUGGUACAGAGACAGAAGCCCUGCCAUGUAGUCUGGUCAAAUCUUACCUACAAGGCAUUGUUUUAGACUCUGCAACUAAGACUACCCAGCAGUUCACAUAUCCUUGGGGCUUUCCCCAUGACAAGGCUAGAUGAGGGGCUGAGUACUAGUAAGCAUCCUGUGAUUUUUGUCCCUCCCAUGAGGUGCCCCAGUCCACGGUACCUACUUUGCACUUAGUGAAUGUGUUUUCACUACAUUUCCUCACCUCCACCAGCUGGGCCGCUAUGUUCUCUGUGGUAUAAGUUGUAGAAUAAACAGUUUUGCUUUUUUCUUUUUGCA